GCCACAGGCGACUGCCCGUCGACUCCCAUCCGCCGGAGUGGGGCCGCCACCUGCGAUAUGUGAUCAUUGGGGCUCCGCGGAGGUUUAUGCAAUGUUCUAGCUCUCGGCGAGUCGGAGGAGAAGCAGCCGGAGGAGGAGAAGGAGGAGCAACGGGCCAGAUGACUGUGACCACCACCAUGGAGGCACAGGUCAAGGCAGCGCACCAUCAUCAUAUACACCAUCCUACGGGCGGAGGAGCCCAGCACAAGGUGGAGGUCGAGGAACCGGAUCCCGUUGAGGACGAGAUGACCGUACUUCUAGCCAAUAAGAACUUUCACUAUGACGUCGCCUCCGAGCUGGACGACGACGCCUUUGUGGAGCUCAAGGAGGACACCGCCCAAGCGGAUGGCGCAGGUGGUGUUGGCUUCUACAAUCCGGAUGAACUGCUGCUCGAGGAGCAGCCACAUCCGCAAGUCACGUGGCUGGACGACGACGAGAUCGAGACGCUCGAUCGCGUCACGCUGGACAUGGGUAACAUGUUCUUCAAUCGCGUCGACAGCCAGGACAUCAUCUAUCAGCAGAAAAAGAAGAGCAUUAAGAUGGUGGGCAAGUACAUUAUGGGCGAUGUCCUCGGCGAGGGAUCGUACGGCAAGGUGAAGGAGGCCAUGAACUCGGAGAACCUGUGUCGGCUGGCCGUCAAGAUCCUGACCAAGCGGAAGUUGCGCAGGAUUCCCAACGGCGAACAAAACGUGACGCGCGAGAUCGCUUUGCUUAAGCAGCUGAAGCACCGACAUGUCGUGGAGCUGGUGGACGUUUUGUACAAUGAUGAGAAGCAGAAGAUGUACUUGGUUAUGGAGUACUGUGUCGGCGGGCUGCAGGAGAUGGUUGACUACCAGCCGGACAAGCGGAUGCCCCUGUUUCAGGCACACGGUUACUUUAAACAGCUAGUCGACGGCCUGGAGUACCUGCACAGCUGCCGGGUCAUCCACAAGGACAUCAAGCCGGGCAACCUGCUGCUCUCCCUGGAUCAAACGCUGAAGAUAUCCGACUUUGGUGUGGCGGAGCAACUGGAUCUGUUCUCACCUGACGACACGUGCACAACGGGCCAAGGUUCUCCGGCCUUUCAGCCACCGGAGAUCGCCAACGGACACGAGACCUUCGCCGGCUUCAAGGUGGACAUCUGGAGCAGCGGAGUGACUCUCUACAAUUUGGCUACAGGACAGUAUCCCUUCGAGGGCGACAAUAUCUACCGAUUGCUGGAGAACAUUGGGCGAGGUCAGUGGGAGGCGCCCACGUGGCUCUUCGAAAUGGACGCCGACUUUGCCAACCUGAUCCUCGGCAUGCUUCAGGCUGAUCCCAGCAAACGUCUCUCCCUACAGGAAAUACGCCACGACACUUGGUUUAGAUCCGCCCCGGUGAAGACCGGCCCACCGAUACCCAUUCCCCCCCUGAAGGGCGACAAAUACCGCAACUCCACGGUGAUACCUUAUUUGGAAGCUUACCACUACGGCACCCAGGAGGAGGACGUCUACUUUACAGAGCACGACGUAAACCAGGAGCUCGCCCGCCAAGCGGCAGCUGCUGCCUCCGAAAUUCGGGCCAAGCAGUCGGCGGCGGCCCUAGCCGCCUGCCACGCCUACGAGCCGCCCUCCACAAGUGCCGCCGCAGCCGCCGCCUCCGGCAAUUCGCUGGGCAACGGUAGCAGGGAAGAGGCGCCAGUUAAGAAGAAAGGUUCGGCGCUAAAGAGGCGCGCCAAGAAGCUGACGUCCUGCAUCUCCGUGCGCAAACUGAGCCACUGCCGAACUUCAUAGGCGCAUUAGAUGCCUCCACUAAACAUAGAUGCUAAGAUUUAUCGAAAGGAAUAACUUUGUUAACAAAUUAAUCAUGUAGGAAAUUCAGGAGAAACCUGGUACCGCCCGAGCAGCACCAGCAGCAGUAGCAGCAGCGGCAGCAUGAGCAGCAGCCGCAAGUGUCAGCGGACACUUUAAGUUAGCUGAUGCGAAUUGGGGAGUUGGUGAGGAGCAAUGGGGCGACACGAAAGCUAUAUAUCCAUGUGACAAUACUGUGUAUUAUAUGAAACAAAUGAAAGCGUAAAUUAGUCGUUAAUAUAUGAUGUACUGAAGGCAGCCGAGGAUUGCCGGAGGAGACGGUGCCCAUUGGUUCGCACACAUAAAGAAACAUGUUCAAGUGAAA
rnacentral:misc_RNA from 1 species